rnacentral:rRNA from 1 species
AUGCUAGAAGUACUCCUUCUCUUCAACAAUUCAUUUUCUGGAAGUAUUCCCUGCUCCGUGCUUCAGUCACAACGAUUGGUAUUUCUAGACCUAUCAAAAAACCUGCUAAACGGGAUAUUGCCCAAUUGCCCUCGCGGGUUCAAAAACUCAAAUAUUAACUUGCUUAAUUUGAACAGUAACAAUCUUUCAGGAGCAUUCCCAUUGUUUCUUCAGAAAUGCAGAUACCUAAAAUUUCUGAAUCUGGCAUACAAUAAAUUUUCUGGAAGCUUACCAACAUGGAUUGAGUCAAAGUUACCACAACUGGCACUUUUGAGUCUGCGCGCAAAUGUGUUCUCUGGUGGCAUCCCUGAUCAACUAACCAGGAUGAAGGAGCUUCAAUAUUUAGACAUUGCAUGCAACAACUUCUCAGGGAACAUACCGCGGUCACUUGGGAAUCUCGUAGCUAUGACCUCUACUUUCAAUUAUAGUGGUGGCCUUUUCGACCUUGUUGAUUAUGGAUUUGGCUUAGUGGAUUCCAUUUAUGCUCAUCUUGAUAGUUUCUUUGUCAACGUAAAAGGUCAAAAACUUGAUUAUACCAAAGGGAUCGCAUACAUGGUGAACAUAGAUUUUUCUUGCAACAGUUUGACAGGACAGAUUCCUCAAGAAAUUGGCAGGCUCAUUGCAUUAAAGAACUUAAACUUCUCUUGGAAUAGCCUGACUGACAUAAUACCCCAAAGUAUCGGUGAGCUACGGGCACUGGAAUCAUUUGACCUCUCACAUAAUGAGCUCUCCGGUGAAAUCCCUACAAGUUUAUCAGCUCUAACAUCACUAAGUCGAUUGAACCUGUCAUAUAAUGAUCUGACAGGAACUAUACCAUAUGGGAACCAAUUAAGAACACUAGAUGACCAAGCGUCCAUCUACAUUGGCAACCCUAGUUUAUGUGGUCCACCUCUCCCAAGGAAUUGCUCACGAACUGACAUACUUCCGUAUGCUCCUCAAGAGCAUGACGAAGGAAUGAGUGAUGUAGUUUUGUUAUACCUCAGCAUGUGCAUAGGAUUUGUAGUAGGUCUCUGGGUUGUCUUUUGUGGCUUCUUAUUGAAGAGGAAAUGGAGGGUUGGUUGGUUCUUAUUUACAGACCACGUGUAUGAUCGAGCUUACGUGCAAGUAGCUGUAGGGUGGGCUUCAUUGGCAAGAAAAAUCCGUCAAGGAUGA